GACGAACGCUGGCGGCGUGCUUAACACAUGCAAGUCGAGCGGUAAGGCCCUUUCGGGGGUACACGAGCGGCGAACGGGUGAGUAACACGUGGGUGACCUGCCCUUAGCUCUGGGAUAAGCCUGGGAAACUGGGUCUAAUACCGGAUAUGACUCCAUGACGCAUGUUGUGGGGUGGAAAGCCUUGUGCGGCUAGGGAUGGGCCCGCGGCCUAUCAGCUUGUUGGUGGGGUGANGGCCUACCAAGGCGACGACGGGUAGCCGGCCUGAGAGGGCGACCGGCCACACUGGGACUGAGACACGGCCCAGACUCCUACGGGAGGCAGCAGUGGGAUCUUGCGCAAUGGGCGAAGCCUGACGCAGCGACGCCGCGUGAGGGAUGACGGCCU
rnacentral:rRNA from 1 species